AUGAAGACACAUGCUCCUACUUUAUUCAUGUUUCUGUGGCUGCAGCUGGAUGGGGUAAUCCAAGGUGAGCAGGUGGAGCAGCAUCCUUCCACCCUGAGAGUCCAGGAGGGUGCCAGCGCUGUCAUCAACUGCACUUACACAGACAGUGUCUUGUCCUACUUCCCUUGGUAUAAGCAAGGGCCUGGAGAGCAUCCUCAGCUCAUUAUUGACAUUCGUUCAACUGUGGAAAGAAAGCAGGAGCAAAGACUGAUCCUUUUUCAGGAUAAGAAAGCCAAACACCUCUCCCUGCACAUCACAGACACCCGGCCUGGAGACUCUGCCAUGUACUUCUGUGCUGCAACGGGCACUGGGAGUAACCAGCUCACUUUUGGGAAAGGCACCAAACUCUCCCUCAUCCCAAAUAUCAAGGACCCAAAACCAGCAGUGUACCAGCUGAGAGAUCCUCAAUCCAAGAAUAGUAGCAUCUGCCUGUUCACCGACUUCGAUUCUCAAAUCAAUGUGUCAAAGGACAUGGCAUCUGAAGUGUUCAUCUCUGACAAGACUGUGCUGGACAUGAAGUCUAUGGACUCCAAGAGCAACGGAGUGAUUGCCUGGAGCGACCAAAAUAGUCUCAACUGUAAAGAUGCCAUCAGAGAGAAUGCCUCCUACCCCAGUUCAGACAUUCCCUGUGAUGCCAAAUUGAUAGAGAAAAGCUUCGAAACAGAUAUGAACCUAAACUUUCGAAACCUGUCAGUGAUGGGACUCCGAAUCCUGCUCCUGAAAGUGGCUGGAUUUAACCUGCUCAUGACGCUGCGGCUGUGGUCCAGUUGAGAUCGGCAAGACAGAAAGAGGCUGAACUCCCAAGAUACUUCCUCUUCACCCCCCCUCUCCUUCUUCAAGCAAAAAGGAGCCCUCCCACCCCAUACCGAAGGCUCUGGGUCUGACUGGUUCACAAUCCCGCCGCCGCUGACUGGAUCUCCUGACUUUGGGAUGGAGAUUGCUGGUCAGCUGCUAAGAGCUACUGUACCUGCAGCUGCUGGCCAUUCACAGGAAAGGCAGGGGCUGCGACUUCUCCUGGAUAUGAAGACCCCCCACUUUCCCACCCUCCACCACCCCUCCCCAUCCCAUGACAGAUUCCCAGUAGAAUCUCUUGGACCGCACACAGCUCCUGGAGAAUGUUGUAAAGAACAUGUUUUUGUUUUGUUUUGUUUUGUUUUAAGCAUCCAUAAAGAAAUCCACAUUACCCUUUCCUCAAGGUGUAGAAAAGAUUACCUCAUUGUCUAGACCUUCCCUGCUACCGUGUGUAUCUGAGCCACAUUGUGUAUCGUCCUGCUGCCCAUGACUUCAUUAAAGAUGACUCAGA